rnacentral:rRNA from 1 species
UACGAAGGGGGCUAGCGUUGCUCGGAAUCACUGGGCGUAAAGGGUGCGUAGGCGGGUCUUUUAAGUCAGGGGUGAAAUCCUGGAGCUCAACUCCAGAACUGCCUUUGAUACUGGCGAGCUUGAGUUCGGGAGAGGUGAGUGGAACUGCGAGUGUAGAGGUGAAAUUCGUAGAUAUUCGCAAGAACACCAGUGGCGAAGGCGGCUCACUGGCCCGAUACUGACGCUGAGGCACGAAAGCGUGGGGAGCAAACAGG